GGCGAACGCUGGCGGUGUGCUUAACACAUGCAAGUCGUGCGACGAACCAGACUUCGGUCUGGGGCAAAGCGGCGAACGGGUGAGUAACACGUGGGUAAUCUGCCCCGAUGACUGGGACAACCCGAGGAAACUCGGGCUAAUACCGGAUGUGGUGCCUGGACUCAAGUCCGGUCACUAAAGGUAGCUUCGGCUUCCGCAUUGGGAGGGCCCGCGGCCCAUUAGCUUGUUGGUGGGGUCAAGGCCUACCAAGGCAACGAUGGGUAGCUGGUCUGAGAGGACGAUCAGCCACACUGGGACUGAGACACGGCCCAGACUCCUACGGGAGGCAGCAGUGGGGAAUCUUGCGCAAUGCGCGAAAGCGUGACGCAGCAACACCGCGUGAGGGAAGACGGCCUUAGGGUUGUAAACCUCUUUCAGAUGGGACGAAGGUGAUGCGGUGAAUAGCCGAUGUCAUUGACGGUACCGUCAGAAGAAGCUCUGGCUAACUACGUG
rnacentral:rRNA from 1 species